rnacentral:rRNA from 1 species
AUACGGAGGGGGUUAGCGUUGUUCGGAAUUACUGGGCGUAAAGCGUACGUAGGCGGACUGGAAAGUUGGGGGUGAAAUCCCGGGGCUCAACCCCGGAACUGCCUCCAAAACUUCCAAUCUAGAGAUCGAGAGAGGUGAGUGGAAUUCCAAGUGUAGAGGUGAAAUUCGUAUAUAUUUGGAGGAACACCAGUGGCGAAGGCGGCUCACUGGCUCGAUACUGACGCUGAGGUACGAAAGCGUGGGGAGCAAACAGGAUUAGAAACCCUAGUAGUCC